UAGCUUAGUUGGUAAAGAAUCUGCCUGCAAUGCAGGAGACCUGGGUUUGAUUCCUGG
rnacentral:tRNA from 1 species